GGCGAACGCUGGCGGCGUGCUUAACACAUGCAAGUCGAGCGACGCUCUUCCUUCGGGGAGAUGACGGAGCGGCGAACGGGUGAGUAACACGUGGGCAACCUGCCCCUAGCUCUGGGACAACACCGGGAAACCGGUGCUAAUACCGGAUACGACAUCGAGCGGCAUCUCUCGAUGUGGAAAGAUUUUUCGGCUAGGGAUGGGCCCGCGGCCUAUCAGCUUGUUGGUGGGGUAAUGGCCCACCAAGGCGACGACGGGUAGCCGGCCUGAGAGGGCGACCGGCCACACUGGGACUGAGACACGGCCCAGACUCCUACGGGAGGCAGCAGUGGGGAAUAUUGCGCAAUGGGCGAAAGCCUGACGCAGCGACGCCGCGUGAGGGAUGACGGCCUUCGGGUUGUAAACCUCUUUCAGCAGGGACGAAUUCAGACGGUACCUGCAGAAGAAGCACCGGCCAACUACGUG
rnacentral:rRNA from 1 species